CAUCUCUACCAUCACCACCACCACCAGCUCUACCACCACCCCUAACUUCUGCUGAGUCAGGCACUGUGCUGAGAACACACGGCAGCUUUAUCUCAUCCAACCCUCCCAGCCUCCCCCGAGUGAAGGACCAUUCGUUCUAUCUCCAUGUCAGAGAUGAAGGACUCUGCUGAAGCCCCACAGCUGUCACGUGCUGAAGUAUCAAUAGGCACUUCUGUCUACACAGACACACACGUGGAUGCCAGGCCUGGGCAUCUCCUGAGCCCUGCCACCUGAGAGCUGGGGGCUGUCACUCCACCCUCUUCCCGUGGUCCAGGUGGAUUCAAGACCCACUCAAGUGUGGGCACUGAAAGACAUCAGUUAUGUGAAAAGAAAGAAGCAUGGAGUUGUGCCCUAUAAAUUACAUUAUCUUUAUCCACUUUUGUAUAGCAUGAAAAUGACAGAGAUCAUCCCUAAAUAUAACCAACUUUCAGGGCACUUUCGGCGUGAGAGGCUGUCCCGGUAGUGCAAAGACGUUUCCAGUCUGACUACGUGGCCAGGCAGGCCCUCCAGUGCCCAGAGCAGGUCUGGAGGAGAGGCGUGCACAGGAACCCGACCGUCAGGAGGCUGAGAUCAGCUCCGGGACAAGGGUCUUGGAGCAGUGCCCUGUGUCUGUGUGGAAAAGCCCGUCUGCCCCACAGCCUGCACCCUCCACGGAUGCCUGCCACACGGACUUGUCCCCAGGUGCGCAGGACCCCAGUGGCCGGGAUGCUCUGGGUGAAUUGAAGAGUCACCUUAAAAAUCUGGUCCAAUGCCACUUAAUGCAUAAUCUCUGAGGAUUACUGUCUUCAACAUUCCAAAAGCACAAUUUAAACAAGUGAUCUCUUAUGUCAGAACACAACGAUGUCCCCGAGCCUUUCUUAGGCAGGAAAAUAAAAUCUGUAAAUAUACUGCAUGCAGUCUGGCUCCCAAGAACGAUACUUCGGUGUACACAAAUUGAAUCCCGAGAAAGGGAUGAGUGGCGGGCUUUCUCUCUAUGUGGAGGGCCCGCCACUGCCCGGCGCCAGGCCCCGUCCUGUGCGUGUGCGUAGCAUGGGAGCUCGCUGAACCAGACGGCAGUCCCGGGAGGGAGAGGACCCAACUGCUCCCAGUCUGCAGCUGAGAGCACUGAGGCAGGGGAAGGUGAGGAACCUACCCAGGCCACCCUGUAGUAGGAGGUGAAGCUGCGAUCAAAUCCAGGAAGCCUCAGUGCCUGGCCACCCUGCCUCUACCUGCCUAAUUUCCUGUUGCCAUCACAAGUGUUGUCCACUGACGGCCACCUGCCUGGGAUCUGCCAUGUCCUGUGGACAGAGGAGACGCCAGGUGAGCAGAUUCCCGCUGGACCCCGAGAGAUGAGGGAGAAAGCCGGACAUUCGCAUGGUUGGGUGUCUCACUUUCAUGGACAGCAAGAUUCCAGGCAUUUUUUAAAAGUCUGAAUCUGUGGAGAACCUUCACUUUCUUUUUUUUUUUUUUUCCCCCGACUCACAAUUCAAGAAGACAUUAUAGGAGACAAUCAGAGGUAAAAAAGAACAUUUUCCGAAGUCAGAGCAAUGAGAAGAAAUAAAACCCUUACAAGAAAUAUUUCAGCGAAAGAGAAAUCUCUUCUUCUUCAUUAGGAUUGGGAACUGCAGAAGGAAAUGCCUUAAUUACCCAUGAAGCAAGAUAACCUUAUGUGAUUGCCUUCAUUUUAAGAGUAUACUAGAAAGGAGAAUAACCAGUAAUAAAUGUGCAUGUCUUUUUUUCCAAUUUUUGGAAAAUUCUGAUGCCAUUCACCAACCUUUGGAAAUAACUCUAUAUGGAAUGAAAUUAUUAAAAAAAACUUUUUUGUAUUUCACCUUCAUUUUUUAUUUUAAAGAGUUGGGGUCUCACUGUGUGGUCCUCCCCGCUCAGCCGGCUGAGUAGACCUUCUUCCCUUUAAACUGCCAGUGAUACCCAUAAAAACAUCCAUUUUUCUUUAGCAUCCCUUUGUAUUUGAUGGUUCUCUGGACCCCUUUUUAAAGCUACACAAUUUUCUGAUUCAUCAUCCUGCUUGGAUAUAACGAAUCCUAUACAUACCAGAAUAUAAUUAUAUGUGGAGAACAAGUUAGAAGAUAUAGAAAUACUUUUAUACUGACCCUUCUAAGUUAAAGGAUGAAGAAAUAAGAAAUAAUAAUUCUUUGAAAAUAAAAUGUAAUGUUCCUCCAGUUAUAUUAUCAGAGAACCAUGACAACACAGAAAUCAAGGUGAAAGUCAGCUUGUUUUGAACAACACAGGAGAACACAAAUGAGUGCACAGCACAUGACAUUAACUACGGACAAGAGCCAAGUGUGACGUGGCCAUCGCAGCUACGGGGAAAACACAGUUCCCCUGGCAGGAAGGUGCCCACCUCUGAGGCCCACCUGGCCGCAGCCUCGCCUCUCUGGGGUCUCUGCUCCACGCUGUCCUCAGUAAGCCCUUCUUGGCCGCCGCCUGUGCAGAAAAUCACCCCGUCCACCCUGGUGGUCCCAAGUCCUCUCACUCUGCUUUAUUUUGUUCCACUGCAUU